CCUAGUAACGGCGAGUGAAGCGGCAACAGCUCAAAUUUGAAAGCUGGCCUUCGGGUCCGCAUUGUAAUUUGUAGAGGAUGCUUUGGGUGAAACGCCAGUCUAAGUUCCUUGGAACAGGACGUCAUAGAGGGUGAGAAUCCCGUAUGUGACUGGAAAUGUUAACCUAUGUAAAGCUCCUUCGACGAGUCGAGUUGUUUGGGAAUGCAGCUCUAAAUGGGAGGUAAAUUUCUUCUAAAGCUAAAUAUUGGCGAGAGACCGAUAGCGCACAAGUAGAGUGAUCGAAAGAUGAAAAGCACUUUGGAAAGAGAGUUAAAAAGCACGUGAAAUUGUUGAAAGGGAAGCGCUUGCAAUCAGACUUGUUUAAACUGUUCGGCCGGUCUUCUGACCGGUUUACUCAGUUUGGACAGGCCAGCAUCAGUUUCGGCGGCCGGAUAAAGGCUCUGGGAAUGUGGCCUUCACUUCGGUGAAGGUGUUAUAGCCCAGGGUGUAAUACGGCCAGCCGGGACUGAGGUCCGCGCUCGGCU
rnacentral:rRNA from 1 species